rnacentral:misc_RNA from 1 species
GAUGAAGAACGUAGCGAAAUGCGAUAAGUAAUGUGAAUUGCAGAAUUCAGUGAAUCAUCGAAUCUUUGAACGCACAUUGCGCCCGCCAGUAUUCUGGCGGGCAUGCCUGUUCGAGCGUCAUUACAACCCUCAGGCCCCCGGGCCUGGCGUUGGGGAUCGGCGGAGCCCCCCGUGGGCACACGCCGUCCCCCAAAUGCAGUGGCGGUCCCGCCGCAGCUUCCAUCGCGUAGUAGCUAACACCUCGCGACUGGAGAGCGGCGCGGCCACGCCGUAAAACACCCAACUCUUCUGAAGUUGACCUCGAAUCAGGUAGGAAUACCCGCUGAACUUAAGCAUAUCAGUAAGCGGAGGA